rnacentral:rRNA from 1 species
GACGAACGCUGGCGGCGCGCCUAACACAUGCAAGUCGAACGGAGCGUACUGUGUGAAGCCCUUCGGGGUAGAACUUUGUAUUGCUUAGUGGCGAACGGGUGAGUAACACGUGAGCAACCUACCCUAGAGUGGGUGACAACAUCUGGAAACGGAUGCUAAUACCGCAUAAGACCACGAGGUCACAUGACCUUGAGGCCAAAGGAUUUAUUCGCUUUAGGAUGGGCUCGCGCCUGAUUAGCUAGUUGGUAAGGUAACGGCUUACCAAGGCAACGAUCAGUAGCCGGACUGAGAGGUCGAUCGGCCACAUUGGGACUGAGACACGGCCCAGACUCCUACGGGAGGCAGCAGUGGGGAAUAUUGGGCAAUGGGGGAAACCCUGACCCAGCGACGCCGCGUGAGUGAAGACGGCCUUCGGGUUGUAAAGCUCUGUUGAGGGGGACGAUAAUGACGGUACCCCAUAAGAAAGCCACGGCUAACUACGUGCCAGCCGCCGCGGUAAAAC